GUAAUCGCAGAUCAGCAACGCUGCGGUGAAUACGUUCCCGGGCCUUGUACACACCGCCCGUCACGUCAUGAAAGUCGGUAACACCCGAAGCCAGUGGCCUAACCCUCGGGAGGGAGCUGUCGAAGGUGGGAUCGGCGAUUGGGACGAAGUCGUAACAAGGUAGCCGUACCGGAAGGUGCGGCUGGAUCAC
rnacentral:rRNA from 1 species